UGGAACUGUGUCCGAUCCAUCUAUGACUGUGUCAAAUCUUGCGUUAAAUCAAAUAAUAUGUUUUCCGAAAUGUUCCAGUGUAAUAUUGGAGUGCGUCAUGGGUGUGUCUUAAGCCCCUUUCUGUUUUCUAUUUUUAAAGAUGAUUUGGCUAGUGAAAUUGAGUCAUCUUGUUAUCCUGGUAUACAGAUGCAUCCAGAACUAACACAAGUAUUUCUCUUGCUGUUCGCUGACGACGUAGUACUCCUCUCCGAUACUAUCUGUGGCCUACAAAAGCGUAUUAAUGUUUUGGAAAAGUAUUGUAUCGAGUAUGACCUUUCCGUUAAUCUAGAUAAAUCCAAAAUUGUUGUCUUUAGAAAUGGAGGUAAGCUCUCUAAAUAUGAAAAGUGGUUUUUGAGUGGCAUGAGAAUAGAUUGUGUCUCAUGGUAUAAGUAUUUGGGUGUUCUUCUUUCUCAAAGCUCGUCGUGGCAUAAACAUUUUGAUAAUUCCAUUCUACAAUCUAAAAAGGCUCUCUAUAGUAUUAUUAGGUCACUAUCAAAGCUAAAACCUAUUCGCGGUGACAUUUUUUUCAGGAUUUUUAUUCAAAAGCGGUAC